rnacentral:rRNA from 1 species
CCUACGGGUGGCAGCAGUGGGGGAUAUUGCACAAUGGGGGGAACCCUGAUGCAGCGACGCCGCGUGGGUGAAGGAGCGUUUCGGAGCGUAAAGCUCUAUCGGCAGGGAAGAAGGAGGACGGUACCUGACUAAGAAGCCCCUGCUAACUACGUGCCAGCAGCCGCGGUAAUACGUAGGGGGCAAGCGUUAUCCGGAUUUCCUGGGUGUAAGGGGGGCGCAGACGGCAGCGCAAGCCAGGAGUGAAAGCCCGGGGCCCAACCCCGGGACUGCUCUUGGAACUGGGCGGCUGGAGUGCAGGAGGGGCAGGCGGAAUUCGUGGUGUAGCGGUGAAAUGCGUAGAUAUCAGGAGGAACACCGGUGGCGAAGGCGGCCUGCUGGACUGCGACUGACGUUGAGGCCCGAAAGCGUGGGGAGCAAACAGGAUUAGAUACCCCUGUAGUC